ACAUGCCUACAACAUAGUGUUAACACACUGAAUCUCAUUAGAACUCCAAAAUUAAGCGUGAUCAGUCUAGAUUAGUACUAGGAUGGGUGACCGCCUUGGAAUUUUAUAAACUUAGUCAAAUU
rfam:Picea glauca, whole genome shotgun sequence.